rnacentral:tRNA from 3 species
GCCCAGGUGGCGGAAUUGGUAUACGCGUACGCUUCAGAAGCGUAUGCUUCACAGCUUGGGAGUUCAAAUCUCCCCCUGGGCA